AGGAGAUGUGUCCGACACAGUCCGUUCUAUCUUUGACCCUUCUAAUAAGGCAGGUGGUCAUACUGGGGGCAUCCGCUACUUCUCAGAAAGAUUACCAGGACUUUUCUGAAAAACACUUCGUACCUUCAAAGUCUACCGUGCCAUCUCCAUUGUCGUCUGCUUCUUUCACUAUGGCAUCUAUCUCCCUCCGGCUCAUGUGCUCCCCCAUCAGCUUGGUCAUGGCCGACCGCAGCUCCUCUGUCGUGAUCUCUCCGUCUCCGUCCAUGUCGAACUAACCAGGGAAACAAGGGAAGAAGAAAAGGCAUCUUUGAGCUCCUUCACACCGAUCAUCCCUGCUGUUUCUGCCAGAAGCUUCGGGGCCAUCAGCUCUACAAAGUCCUCAAAGUCCACUCUGCCACCAACUGAAGUUAUCAAUGGUGUUCGCCCUCAGAGAGGACAGCCCUGCUGUCUCAGUGCGUCCACCCGGUCUGCCUGGCCUGACGGGAUGCUGGGGGGUUGUAUGACAGGGGGGUGUGGCUGCAUCCAGGGUUGUAUGCUCGCGGGGGAGGAGUCAGCUGUGUGACAGCAGCAGCAGCAGCAGCAGCAGAGAUGCUGAAUGUUGACAUCAUAGUGGAAAUGAUACUGCCAUCUGAGCCCAGGGCUAACAGAGGAAACAGGAUACUGUCAGUUCACACGAUAGAGGGUAGAGUUUCUGUUUCUUUUGUUUACUGUGAAUUAAUUACAGUCCACUCCAGGUUUAACACUAGAAAGUCUAGCACUCUAAGUAUUUUAAUUAUAACAGUCAUUUUGAUGGUCAAUCACUCUCUCAGUUAACACUGUGAUUAAUUGUUUUGUCAGAUAUUUCAAAGAUAUUUAAGUUAUUAUUGUAUAAAAAUAGGUAAAAGCAGCAAACGUGUAAAUUUAAGGAGCUGGAGCCAGGGAAUGUUUGACAUUUGCUUGAUAAAUGAUGACUAAACAAUUACUGACUGUUGAAAAAUGACGAUAAUGAUUCAUGUUCUGUUGAUCAACUAAUUGUUUUUAAUUGUUUUAACACAAACAGCACAACAUUUUGGAGGGAAAAACGCUCACUUACAUGUCAUAAUCAUGAUUUUAAAGAGGAAACCAACAACUUUUCAACUUUUUCCCCACUAACAUUUCCAAUUAGCUUAUUCAGGGUGCAAACUAUAGAGGAGUCAGGAGGAACUUGGCUCCUGUUAAUAAGACAUGAGCUCCCCUGAAAACAUAAAUCAUGAUUUGUGGAAUUUUGCGGAGCCUUAAAAUAUCGACAAUGUGCUAUUUUUGGCGUAAAACCGACUGACUGUUAGUAACUAUCUUGUUCCCACAAGAUAUUAACUUGUUCCUACAAGAUAAUUACCUUGUCAGUACAGAAUAAUAACUUGUUCUCACAAGCCAAACUUGUGUGCACAAGGUAUUACCUUGUUCCCUCAAGAAACUUAACUUGUGUGUAAAAGAUAAUUACGGUAACUUGUUCCCACAAGGAAAGUGACUUGCUUUCACAAAAUAAUUCACUUGUUCCCACAAGUUAAAUUUGUUCCCACAAGAUAAUAACUUGCUCCCACAUGAUAAUUAAUUUGUGCGUAAAAGAUAGUUAACUUGUUUCAUCAAGACAAUCCCAUUGUGAGCACAGGAUAACACAUUCUCACAAGAUCCCUCAAGAUAAUUGACAUGUUCCCACGAGUUAACUGACUUGUUCCCACAAGAUAAUUGACUUGUUCCCACAAGAUAACUCAUUUGUUUCCAGAAGAUGAUAACUUGUUCCCAUAACUGUCUUGUUCCCAAAGGAUAAUUGACUUGUUCCCACAAGAUAACUCAUUUGUUUCUCACAAGAUUAUAACUUGUUCCCACAAGUUAAUUGACUUGUUCCCAAAAAUCAAUUAACUUGUUCCCACAAGGUAAACUUGAUCCCACAAGACAACUGACUCAUUCUGGCAAGAUACAGUAAUUGACUUGUUCCCAAAAGAUAAUUAACUUGUUCCCACGCAGUAAACUUGUUCCCACAAGACAAUUGACUUCUUCCCACAAAAUAAGUUGAAAAUUGUUGUGUCCACAAGAUUUUUUUUUUUUUUUUUUUUUUAAAUCUAUUACUUUCAAGAUGUUAUAGGCUCCAGAGUACAGUGUUAGAUGUUCUGGAUGGGGACACUCAAAUCAAUUCUUAUUCCUAUGCAUUGACUAACUGAAUUACUAUCACUGGAAAUAGCAUUGUUUUUCAAAGAUUGAAUUUUUUUUAUAACAUAAAACCUAUAUUUAUGAAUAUAAUAUACUUAUAUAUUAUGAUAUUAUGUUAAAUCUGGACUAAUUGUAGGUUUUAUACUGUCUAGUUUGAAUUCUCCAAAUCAGCGUAUUGUUUCUGUUGAACACACACAGCAGUGACACUUUGAAGAACAGAGGCUCAUUUGAUCCUCUGUCUGUUGUUUUGGCCCAUAUUAUUGUCAAAGACAUGUCAGUGUAACAGAUUUUGGAAGUAUUAAAGAGCCACAUGCCAAUAAUAGCUAAUAUCCCAGUGUGUGAUAAUCUGUAUUGUAUUGGUUACAUUUGCGUAGAAAAAGCGGAUUAUUUCUUCUCUGAAAAACCCUGAUAACAAUGUCAGGGAUUAAAGCCUCGGGGUCAGCAUCUUCACUUCCCACAGUCUGCAUUAACUGGCUGAGCUGAAACACUUCAGCACCAGUUGAUCGUGUGUCCUUUUUGACCUUUUCCCCUCUGCCUGUUGCCCUGUUAUGUAAAUUCAUCAAAAAAUCUGUUCACAUAAGAAGCAUAAUCCACUGGGCGGAAGCUAGUAAUGAUUUUAUUAUCUUUUUCCCCUCCCUCGUUGCAGCGGGACAGAUGAGAGGUUAUGCAAAGCCGUGCCCACGGCUGUGAAAAGAUGUCUGUGGAGUGGAGGGCAGGAGGAAUGUGGGUGAGGAAAAAGUAUGAAUGAAAACUGAGAAGAGGAGAAGGGAGGGCUGGGUGGUAGAAUGCUAGGGUGUUAAGGUUUUAUUUUUGGGAAUAAUAUAAAAUAUAGAGGUUUAGGGGCUGGAGGAUGAAUGAAAAACAUGUCACAGUUUUGGAUUAGUAACAGGAUUAAGAUGCUAUUACAGCACAUGAAAGUACAGCUGCUAGUAGUCAAGAGUCAGCCUUACUGAAUCACAAGUCACUCUUAAUAAAGCUGUGUAGUGUAUCAGCGGGUGCUUCCAACUGAGAACGAUAAUGUAGAAAUGUACACAGGAAAAACGUUCAUUUUUUUAUUGUGUGUUUUGUAUGUGCUCAGCUAAAACUGCACAUCACAGAGAUUACACUGAGUGGAUUACGAGGGCAAAGGCAGGGCCCAACGAGCCAUAUGUUUGAUUGGGAUGACGUGAGUCAGUGUGUGCAAAUAUACAGUGGUUUGCAUCAAAUCAACUUAACAUCCGAAAACUUCAAAAUCCAAAAAAUACGCCAUAAAGUUAGUUGACACUUUCUUCUACUUUAUACUUCUAGUGCUCAGCUUCAUUUCAGAGUGAAAUAUACUUUUUUUUUUUUUUUACAAUGAAGACAUUUCAGUGAGCCUACUUUUUUCAGGUGUGCAUUUUACAUAUGAUCAUAUUAUCAAAUUUAUUAUAGAUUAAAUUACAGAAUGUAAAUAUAUUAAAAUGACCUCAACUAACAACAACAAAUCCAAGGCACUUGUACUUUACUUGAGUAUUUCCAUUUUUUACCACUUUACAAUUCUACUCCACCACAUCUCAGGGGAAAUAUUGUACAUUUUACACCACUGUAUUUGUCUGGCAGCUUUAGUUACCAGAGGUGUGGACUCAAGUCACAUGACUUAGUCAGACUUGCGUCAUAAAUUUGAUGACUUAACACUCGACUUGAAAAAAUCAUAGAGGACUCGCAACUUGACUUGGACUGUAACACCAGUGACUCCUGACAUCACUUGGACUUAAGCCUUUGACUUUAAAAUGCGUAACACCUUCCCUCCAAUCCUGAAGAUUACAAAGUUAUUUAAGUGCCCCACUAAUCAAUUUAUUUCCUCAACCACCAUUGACGAUAUUCAUUCCCAGCAAGUCGACACUUAAUUCCCCAGAUGAUCCACUUUGUUUGAACCAGUCUGACAACAUCCAACCAAGUUGCAGGGGAGAACCAUGAAGGACCAACAUUAGGCCUACAUUACUGAGGUCCAGUUGGAAAAAGUUAUGACAAAGAUAAUUUCGUCUGCUUACAAAAAACUAUGCAGGGGUCAACAAAAAACAAAUUGCAGUAUGUGAAAUGUCAAAAAUGACUGACUUACAACAAACUUUUAACAAGUCAGUUGUAACAAAUAAAUACUAUUUCUUAAAAAUAAUUUAUUAUCGCCUAAUUUUACUCAGUGGUUAAAAUGGCAUUACAUUUAGUGAAGAGCGCAUAACAUGUUUAGCAUUCAAAACUAAAUGUUUCCGGCAUGGGAAUUGGCAUGAGUGUAACGAUUUGAGACUGACUUGUGACUUGCAAAAUUAUGAUGUGGUCAAUUAAAGGACUUAUGUCUUAUGUCUUCAAUUAAACAAAGACAAGACAGAGGUAAUAGUUGUUGGAGCCAAGGAGGAAUGAUCAAAAGUCAUCGCUCAACUUCAGUUAGCAAUGUUAACAACCCCACACCAAACCAGAAGUCUUGGUGUAGUCAUGGACUCAGACCUGAAUGUAAAUAGUCACAUUAAGACAACUACAAAGUCAGCCUACUGUCACCUUGAGAACAUAUCAAGGAUAAGAGGACCUAUGUCCCAGCAGGAUUUGGAAAAACUUGUCCAGGCAUUUAUCUGCAGUAGACUCGACUGCUGUCAUGGGGUCUUUACAGGUCUCCCUAAAAAAGACAGAUCUAUCAGACAGCUGCAGCUGAUUCAGAAUGCUUUUGUUCGAGUCCUCACUAAAACCAAGAAAGUGGAUCACAUCACUCCAGUUCUGAGGUCUUCACACUGGCUUCCUGUCUGUCAGAGAACUGACUUCAAAAUACUAUUGCUGGUUUACAAAGCACUAAAUGGUUCACGGCCCAAAUACAUUUCUGACCCUCUGCUACAGUAUGAACCAUCCAGACUUCUCAGGUCUUCCAGGACAGGUCUGCCUUGUGUCCCCAGAGUCAAGAAUAAACAUGGAGAAGCAGCAUCUAGUUUUUAUGCACCACAUAUCUGGAACAAACUCUGCAUCAACUUGCUCUUCUUUUAAAUCAAGGCUUAAGACUUUUCUGUUUGCCGCUGCCUCUUCUUAAAUCAAAUGUUGUAUUCAUUUCUUACACUGCACUGUAACUUUUAUUCUUGUAUUUUUUUAUACCAGUCUAAGUGUAUUUUAACUUUUUAUUUUCUAUCCUCUAGUUCUUUAAUGAACUGCUUCUAAGUGUCCUUUUGGAAUGUGUUUCUUUUGCAUCUUGUGUUGAUGUUUUUGAUGUUUUCUGUAGAGCACUUUGAAUUGCUUUGUUGCUGAUAAACUUGAAACUGAAUAAACUUGCCUUGUCUAGAAUGUAAUAUUUAUAGUUUUACCUAAUAAAAAAUACUUAAAAAUUGUGGAGCAUAUCAUUCUCGUUCCCUGUGGUGAUGGGAGGUAGUGAGGAAGGUCAACACUUCUGUAUGGUCUUGGCCAUGGUAGUCUCAAGCUUCAAAACAAAAUCUUGACUCGGAGUGGCCCAGUCUGUGCAGAAUGUGGUCAGCCGCCUGCUGCCGGACAAGUGAUGGACUGUGGGACAUAGAGAUAUUUGCCUAGGAGGUUUCCACUCGUCAAGUUUCUCAGGCAACA